rnacentral:misc_RNA from 1 species
AAGUCGUAACAAGGUUUCCGUAGGUGAACCUGCGGAAGGAUCAUUAACACAACACUAUUAUCCAAUAGUAAACUAAACGCGAACUGAGUGUCUCCCAAUGAUUAACCCUCAUUGGCUACCUGCUGAUUUUAUCAUUGGCAUAUUUAUUUAUGUCUUUGUUAAUUCAGCGCGACCUCUUAACCUCUGUCUCGAUUGAUCUUCGGAUCGUUCGACCAGUCCAUGUUAUUCAAUGCAUUCAAUUGCCUUUUUUAACAGCUGAUAACCUAGUUGAGUUUACGAAAUUCAAUCGAACAACUCUUAACAAUGGAUAUCUUGGUUCUC